rnacentral:rRNA from 1 species
UACGUAGGGGGCUAGCGUUAUCCAGAUUUACUGGGCGUAAAGCGCACGUAGGCGGCUUCUUAAGUCGGUGGUGAAAUCCUGGAGCUCAACUCCAGAACUGCCUUCGAUACUGAGAAGCUCGAGUCCGGGAGAGGUGAGUGGAACUGCGAGUGUAGAGGUGAAAUUCGUAGAUAUUCGCAAGAACACCAGUGGCGAAGGCGGCUCACUGGCCCGGUACUGACGCUGAGGUGCGAAAGCGUGGGGAGCAAACAGG